GCAUUCAUGGUGUAGCGGUAACAUUGGGUCUUCCCAUGGCCUAGCUCCGGGUUCGACUCCCGGUGAAUGCA
rnacentral:tRNA from 1 species